UACGUAGGGUGCAAGCGUUAAUCGGAAUUACUGGGCGUAAAGCGUGCGCAGGCGGUUUUGUAAGACUGGCGUGAAAUCCCCGGGCUUAACCUGGGAAUUGCGAUGGUGACUGCAAGGCUAGAGUUUGGCAGAGGGGGGUAGAAUUCCACGUGUAGCAGUGAAAUGCGUAGAGAUGUGGAGGAACACCGAUGGCGAAGGCAGCCCCCUGGGUCAAAACUGACGCUCAUGCACGAAAGCGUGGGGAGCAAACAGG
rnacentral:rRNA from 1 species